rnacentral:rRNA from 1 species
AUACGUAGGGUGCAAGCGUUAAUCGGAAUUACUGGGCGUAAAGCGUGCGCAGGCGGUUUUGUAAGACAGAGGUGAAAUCCCCGGGCUCAACCUGGGAACUGCCUUUGUGACUGCAAGGCUAGAGUACGGAAGAGGGGGGUGGAAUUUCGCGGGUAUGGGUGAAAUGCGUAGAUAUGCGGAGGAACACCGAUGGCGAAGGCAAUCCCCUGGGCCUGUACUGACGCUCAUGCACGAAAGCGUGGGGAGCAAACAGGAUUAGAUACCCUGGUAGUCCACGCCCUAAACGAUGUCAACUGGUUGUUGGGUCUUCAUUGACUCAGUAACGAAGCUAACGCGUGAAGUUGACCGCCUGGGGAGUACGGCCGCAAGGUUGAAACUCAAAUGAAUUGACGGGG